rnacentral:pre_miRNA from 1 species
ACAUUUAUGAUAAGCAUUUAGAACAUUCAUAUUUUAGCUCGUAUUUGAAUAUGAAUGUUCAAAAUGUUUAACAUAAAUGUU